UUAAGCGACUAAGCGUACACGGUGGAUGCCCUGGCAGUCAGAGGCGAUGAAGGGCGUGCUAAUCUGCGAUAAGCGCCGGUAAGGUGAUAUGAACCGUUAUAACCGGCGAUACCCGAAUGGGGAAACCCAGUGUGAUUCGUCACACUAUCAUUAACUGAAUCCAUAGGUUAAUGAGGCGAACCGGGGGAACUGAAACAUCUAAGUACCCCGAGGAAAAGAAAUCAACCGAGAUUCCCCCAGUAGCGGCGAGCGAACGGGGAGGAGCCCAGAGCCUGAAUCAGCAUGUGUGUUAGUGGAAGCGUCUGGAAAGGCGCGCGAUACAGGGUGACAGCCCCGUACACAAAAGCGCAUGUGCUGUGAGCUCGAUGAGUAGGGCGGGACACGUGGUAUCCUGUCUGAAUAUGGGGGGACCAUCCUCCAAGGCUAAAUACUCCUGACUGACCGAUAGUGAACCAGUACCGUGAGGGAAAGGCGAAAAGAACCCCGGCGAGGGGAGUGAAAAAGAACCUGAAACCGUGUACGUACAAGCAGUGGGAGCACAGGUUUACCUGUGUGACUGCGUACCUUUUGUAUAAUGGGUCAGCGACUUAUAUUCUGUAGCAAGGUUAACCGAAUAGGGGAGCCGGAGGGAAACCGAGUCUUAAUUGGGCGUUAAGUUGCAGGGUAUAGACCCGAAACCCGGUGAUCUAGCCAUGGGCAGGUUGAAGGUUGGGUAACACUAACUGGAGGACCGAACCGACUAAUGUUGAAAAAUUAGCGGAUGACCUGUGGCUGGGGGUGAAAGGCCAAUCAAACCGGGAGAUAGCUGGUUCUCCCCGAAAGCUAUUUAGGUAGCGCCUCGUGAAUUCAUCUCCGGGGGUAGAGCACUGUUUCGGCUAGGGGCCAUCCCGGCUUACCAACCCGAUGCAAACUGCGAAUACCGGAGAAUGUUAUCACGGGAGACACACGGCGGGUGCUAACGUCCGUCGUGAAGAGGGAAACAACCCAGACCGCCAGCUAAGGUCCCAAAGUCAUGGUUAAGUGGGAAACGAUGUGGGAAGGCCCAGACAGCCAGGAUGUUGGCUUAGAAGCAGCCAUCAUUUAAAGAAAGCGUAAUAGCUCACUGGUCGAGUCGGCCUGCGCGGAAGAUGUAACGGGGCUAAACCAUGCACCGAAGCUGCGGCAGCGAACGUAUCACCCAAGACAACUUUACGGAGUUGACGAUUGACGGAGCGAAGCGACGUCAAAGCGUUCAUUAAAGUCGAGUUGGCUUAGGGAUACGUUCGUUGGGUAGGGGAGCGUUCUGUAAGCCUGCGAAGGUGGCCUGUGAGGGUUGCUGGAGGUAUCAGAAGUGCGAAUGCUGACAUAAGUAACGAUAAAGCGGGUGAAAAGCCCGCUCGCCGGAAGACCAAGGGUUCCUGUCCAACGUUAAUCGGGGCAGGGUGAGUCGACCCCUAAGGCGAGGCCGAAAGGCGUAGUCGAUGGGAAACGGGUUAAUAUUCCCGUACUUGGUGUUACUGCGAAGGGGGGACGGAGAAGGCUAUGUUGGCCGGGCGACGGUUGUCCCGGUUUAAGCGUGUAGGUGUGUGUUCCAGGUAAAUCCGGUUCACUUUAACACUGAGGCGUGACGACGAGGCACUACGGUGCUGAAGCAACAAAUGCCCUGCUUCCAGGAAAAGCCUCUAAGCAUCAGGUAACAUCAAAUCGUACCCCAAACCGACACAGGUGGUCAGGUAGAGAAUACCAAGGCGCUUGAGAGAACUCGGGUGAAGGAACUAGGCAAAAUGGUGCCGUAACUUCGGGAGAAGGCACGCUGACACGUAGGUGAAGUGAUUUACUCAUGGAGCUGAAGUCAGUCGAAGAUACCAGCUGGCUGCAACUGUUUAUUAAAAACACAGCACUGUGCAAACACGAAAGUGGACGUAUACGGUGUGACGCCUGCCCGGUGCCGGAAGGUUAAUUGAUGGGGUCAGCGCAAGCGAAGCUCCUGAUCGAAGCCCCGGUAAACGGCGGCCGUAACUAUAACGGUCCUAAGGUAGCGAAAUUCCUUGUCGGGUAAGUUCCGACCUGCACGAAUGGCGUAAUGAUGGCCAGGCUGUCUCCACCCGAGACUCAGUGAAAUUGAACUCGCUGUGAAGAUGCAGUGUACCCGCGGCAAGACGGAAAGACCCCGUGAACCUUUACUAUAGCUUGACACUGAACAUUGAGCCUUGAUGUGUAGGAUAGGUGGGAGGCUUUGAAGUGUGGACGCCAGUCUGCAUGGAGCCGACCUUGAAAUACCACCCUUUAAUGUUUGAUGUUCUAACGUGGACCCGUAAUCCGGGUUGCGGACAGUGUCUGGUGGGUAGUUUGACUGGGGCGGUCUCCUCCUAAAGAGUAACGGAGGAGCACGAAGGUUGGCUAAUCCUGGUCGGACAUCAGGAGGUUAGUGCAAUGGCAUAAGCCAGCUUGACUGCGAGCGUGACGGCGCGAGCAGGUGCGAAAGCAGGUCAUAGUGAUCCGGUGGUUCUGAAUGGAAGGGCCAUCGCUCAACGGAUAAAAGGUACUCCGGGGAUAACAGGCUGAUACCGCCCAAGAGUUCAUAUCGACGGCGGUGUUUGGCACCUCGAUGUCGGCUCAUCACAUCCUGGGGCUGAAGUAGGUCCCAAGGGUAUGGCUGUUCGCCAUUUAAAGUGGUACGCGAGCUGGGUUUAGAACGUCGUGAGACAGUUCGGUCCCUAUCUGCCGUGGGCGCUGGAGAACUGAGGGGGGCUGCUCCUAGUACGAGAGGACCGGAGUGGACGCAUCACUGGUGUUCGGGUUGUCAUGCCAAUGGCACUGCCCGGUAGCUAAAUGCGGAAGAGAUAAGUGCUGAAAGCAUCUAAGCACGAAACUUGCCCCGAGAUGAGUUCUCCCUGAGACUUAGAGUCUCCUGAAGGAACGUUGAAGACGACGACGUUGAUAGGCCGGGUGUGUAAGCGCAGCGAUGCGUUGAGCUAACCGGUACUAAUGAACCGUGAGGCUUAACCUU
rnacentral:rRNA from 1 species